UGUUCGAUCUGUACCGUUUCCUGGGGGUUUCACCUUCUCUCGUCUCGUUGUUGUCAGCCUCGGAAAGACAGCAAGUUCCUGCCGGUGUUUGUGAUUGCUCGGUUCAUCUUCAUCCCUCUCUUCAUGCUGUGUAAUGUCCGUCCUCGACACAUCCCAGUCUUCUUCACACACGAUGCCUGGUAUAUUGUUUUCAUGAUGGUGUUUGCCUUCUCCAAUGGCUACCUCGCCAGCCUCUGUAUGUGCUACGGACCCAAGAACGUGGUUACGAGUGAAGCAGAGACGGCGGGAGCCAUCAUGUCCUUCUUCUUAUCCCUUGGCCUGGCAGCUGGAGCCUGUCUAUCUUUUCUGUUCCGUGGUCUGGUCUGAAAAAGAUCCUCAGGAGAUAUGAGUGUGGACUGUGGGAAUCUGAGUUCUACACAUCAGAUCCUAUUGUUUACUGUGUUAUUAUCCUUUUUAUAUCAGUUUUAAUCAGCUGCCAGUGUGCGAGUAACUGGAAACCACAGCCCUGCACUGGGCUGAAUGAGGGCAGGCUCUCACCUCCCUCCCACUUCACAUGCCACCCACCCUCUUCUUUAGCCUGACGUUAUGUUUUUCUUCUGUGCCCACUGUCCCACCUUCACCAAUGACUCUCUGCCAAUUUAACCCUCCUAUUUCCCCCUUCUAGCUCACUCUCCACUUAUCACCGACAAACAGUUCCUCAUUAAGAGCUGCCUGAUCCCUUUCUCUGUUCCAUUUCUGCCCCUGACUUUGACCCAUGCCUUCCCCCAAACCGCCAACCCCACUCCACCAACUCUCCUUGAUAUCCUCACCACCAAGUUGAUCUGAGCAGCAACUUGAAAUACCCAGGGAUAGCAAGAAAUGCUGAUGCUGGAGUCAGAGACAACACAGUGUGGAGCUGGAGGAACACAGCAGGUCAGGCAGCCUCAGAGGAGCCAUCAGAAGAUCCUUCUGAAGAAGGGUCCUGACCCGAAACGUCAACUUUCCUGCUCCUCUGACGAUGCCUGACUUGAAACACCCAGGGUUGUGUUGGGGGUUGAGAGCAGCGAGGAGUUGUGGGGGUAGAGGAGGGGUAGGGAUGGAGUCUGGGGACAUUUCUGAGAACUGAGGACCCCAGAUUUCCCAGAGGAAGCUCCAGCUAACCUUCAGGGGAAGGGGAUUUCCAGACCUUCAACUAAAUGUGAUGUUUGGCCUCCGCACCAGCCUUAAACUGGCCCAGAGCUCAACGCAGCUGCAGGCCGAGCCACUGGAUGUUUUUCUUAAUUCUAUCAUGGGAUGUGAAGACCACUGCCGAGACCAGCAUUUGUUUCUCAUCCCAAAUUGCCCUUGCAAAGGUGUAAGAUGCAAGGAAAGGCUAUUGCAGGGCAGUGUCACCAGGGUAGAUCAGUCCCCUCCCUCCUGCUCUGGGUAAACAUUCCCAGCUCCCACUGCUCCUCUUACCCGGUCACUACCCAAAGCAAAAACUGUACCACCAGACACUCCCUUCACCAGCAAGCUUUAAAAACCAGGGCAGGUGUUGUGUGGGAUCCCAAACUGGACUGACUUUAUUCAUGAACAAAAACAAAGUUGCUGGAAGAGCUCAGCAGGUCUGGCAGCAUCUGUGAAGGAGAAAACAAUCAGAGUUAACGUUUCGGGUCCGGUGACCCUUCCUCAGAACUGGCUUUAUUCAUAAUAACUACACAGAUUGCUGGAGGAACUCAGCAUCCGUGGAAACAGAAACAGUAAAGGUUUCAAGUCUGCCAGACCUACUGAACUUUUCUGGCUUUUUCUGGUUUUAUUUUAGAUCUCCAAGAUCUGCUGUAUUUUGCAUCUAUUUUAACAUUUGUUAGUCCCUUUGCAACAAAGAACGUACAGCAAUGGGGACACAUGAAUGUUGACAGUACAAACUAUUAUAAUCCAAGUGUUUCAACAACGUAGACAAGUCUCCAGAGGAUAGAAUAUCAGCAAUAACUCUCUUAAGUUGUUUUAAUAGAUUAUUUUUAUGCGCUAUUUUAUAUAUAUCUCUGUAAAAAAAAAUACAGCAUGCAAUCUAAUCCCUGUAAGCAACCACUAUACAAGUUAGCCUAUAUGAAUUGUACAUGAACUGGCCUGAAAAAAAGAAGGAACAUACUGCAAUUUAAGGAGCAAGGAUUGAGAAGAAACCACAAUAUGCUGAAUAAAUGUAUGAAAUGGAACUUUGCAGAUCCCUCAAAGGGGAAGUGGAAAUGGUGGAGCCAUUACUGCUAAAAAUGUUACUAACUACAGUCAGGAGGCAAAGUGUUGCUUGGAGGCCGCGCGGAAAAGGGCUGAGAUAAUAUCUAGUUGCUUUUCUGAAAGACAGAAGUUAAAUGAACAAGCUGUCAAAUGCAGUUGAAAUUGAGAUAAGACUCAAAAACAAUCCAGUUUUGUAGACAGUGAAAGUUCAACCAAUUGUGGGGAUCAUGACACAUUCAUGACACCCGCCAGUGGUCAGAUGGCCAAUGACUGAGAGCCAGAAGUGGGAUCGUCCUCCCAGCGAUGGAUCAUGCAGGCUGCAGGAACAAACUGGGGGAUAGCAGGUCUCCUAGAGGAUAGCUCAGGGCAGAAGUAGCCUACUCUGCUAUUUUGAGAUUGGAUUCGGGGGCGGCUGAUCAUUCUUCUAAUAUGACUCUCAGACAAUCCAAGCAACUCGCCUGGUGGAAUAUGUGAGUAUGAUGCAUAUAGGAUUAGAACUGUGGAAACAUGGAAUAAACUUGCUUGUGUGAAUGAA